AGGCAACCUUUCUCUCCACAACACCUCUGCCGUUGAGUUAUAACCGUCUCGGUGUUGUGACGUGAAUCGUCUCCCAGCAGAAUGUUUUCCCGCCGUCUAACUUAAUAUUUCACUUUUGUGGAUUUCCGCAGAGAAAGCAGCGACACCGGAGCAGAGAAACACCUCCGGACAGCACGGCACCGUUUAUCUGACUCAUUAUUACUCAUUAAAUCCACUGUUUUUGGAUCAAAGUGCUUUUAAAGACAGAUACUCGGCGAGAUCAACUUUAAAACGAGCGAGCUGAGCAGAAUGAUAAAUGACAGAAGCUCCCAGUGAGCUGCUGUAGCGUGAACUGGCCGCUGGGUGGCAGCACUGACCAGCAGCGUCACUGGGCUCCUUGCAAUGCCUCCUGGGAGCUGGGCUCAUCAUCCAGAUGAGAGGAGGAGCAGCAACAGUUGUCCUGCUUCACUGGUUUCUGUUCUAUUUACAGUGAAGAAGUUAAAAUGAAAAUGAAAAUCAAAUAAUCCAGAUGAGAGGAGGAGCAGCAACAGUUGUCCUGCUUCACUGGUUUCUGUUAUAUUUCCAGGUGAGUUACUAACUUUUUAUCUGACUACAGAUGUCUGUAAACUAAUAUGAAUCCCCUGUGAUAUGUGGUUCGGGAGCUAAAAGUGCGUUAAGUGUGUAAAUAUUUAAGUGUCAUGGUACGUGACGGUCGUAGAAAACAGGAACAUUUUUAUUUUUGGUCUGAUACGAAUUUUGAUGAGUUUAUCUUCAUGGAAAUCUGUUAAAAUAGACAUUCACAGGGGUCCAGACUAACUUUUUGCAUUGGUUGCAAUGAAACCCCAACAUUUGGGUGCACCUUAAACUUUGUGCUGGUGCACCUAAAAAAAAAAAUUUUGGCAC